rnacentral:lncRNA from 1 species
AAGGGAAGGGGAGAGGUGGGGUGAACGAAUCGGAUCUUAGAGAAGUCUCGGUCUUCGUCCACACCUAGGACAGGGAAGAAGGAUCCAUUUGAGAAUUUAGCUAGGGCUACUAUUUGAAUUAAGCCGAAGCCGGGGGAGGAAUCGAAUCCGCAGACAGGUCUUGUCUAAUGACUUGGUUUCUCCAAGAAGAAUUGAAUCAUAAGCAUGGAAUCGGGAAAGCAUU